CUGGCAAAUAGUUGCCCAAAUCAUUUUUCAAUUGUUCUUAAAUAAAACGGUCUUAUUAAAUUAAAAUUAAAACCAUGGCGAUAUGCUGCAAAAAGACGACUUAGAACAGUAUUCCUAAAAAAAAACUAAAAGGCAAGAUUAAAAUCAGGAGAAAAUGGUAUGCACAGUGUGAUAAAUGCAAAGGGAUAUAUUGUUCUUUUUAUUAUUCUCAUUUAUAUAGUGCCAAAAUAAUCUGCAGGACAUUACAGUUAUACAGUAAGGACACAUAGUAGACACAGGUGACAAACACAAGGAGCACUGCUCAAACAAGCUUACAGCAUAGGAGUAAUGGUAAUACAUAAUAAAAGCAUUGAGCAAUUCACAUAAGCCCAGAAAAGAAACAAAUGAUUGACGGUAUGUGAGACAGAAUUUGUUUAUUUCCAUGUGGUAUGAUGUGCAAUGCAGUUAUGUAAAUUGAACUUGUAACAAUAGAUACUUGGAAGUUAAAUAAAUAGAUUUCAGUGAAGAGUAUGAAGGAAAGUAAUAAAGACAUCAAAAUUAGUACAAAGCUAUUUACAAGAAGUGGAAGGAGUAUCAUCGAGCUCAGUGUGGUUUCAUUAAUUGGUUGCCAACAAUAUACUGCACAGAGUUUUGAUUGGUAGGUAGCUCCUCUUGCAUCUGGUACCAGAUGGGUAGCACAACUAUGUACAUACAUACAUACAUACAUACAUAGACACAAACACACACUCAUUUUUUGUACUUUGUUAAAUAUAUACACAAAACAUUUUGACCAUUUUAGUGUAAAAACAUUGAUAUUUCUGUGCUGCAAACAAUUGAAAAGUAGACGUGAUAAGGACACUUAAGUAAUUUGCAAUUGGACACUAUUGUAAUUAUUAUUCAUAAUAAUUUGGUCUAAAGUACCAUUCAUUUAAUACUACUUUUAUAUGAAUUUUUUUUUUUUUACUACUUUUAUAUGAUAUUUUUAUUGUCCCAACCUUUUAAUGCUUAGAUGGCUCUCUGUUGUGGUGUCUGGCAAUAUUCUGUAUUUUUGUAUUUUGUUAUUUUAUGCAGAUGUGCAUUAUUCAUAACCAUGCAGUCUAUUGGAGACAGCAGUUCAAAAUGCUGAUAAUAUAUAGGGUGUGCUGGAUGUAAUAUUUCUGCUUUAAUCUGUUUUGUGUUUUAAUACUGCUAUUAGUAAGUUCUCGGUUUGCCUUAACUUUGAAAUUAAAUUCUCAAAAAUACUCACUUUAGUAAAUAAUCCUGACAAUGUUGAAAGAUUUGAUAUAUUUAACGUUUAUUUUACGAUUCCUACAGAACUCUAUAUGAGAGUACUGCUCAGCCCACUUCCACAUUGAACUAGGGAAGAUAUACAUAGUAAGCAUGUUUUGUGUCUAUGGAUAGUUUAUGCUUUAUUUAACCUAAUACUAACCCAGGUCUAGUUUCAUUUCCAAAAAUGCAAUACUUUGAAGCUGGCGGACAAGAAAGAUGGCAAUACAAUGGCAUAGCAGGUUUCUGACUGUACAGCUAUGCCAACAUCUUGCCUUCCCUCUAGU